CUAUAGGAACCAAUCAGGACAUUUUGCCCAAAGAUCUAGGACAGAAAGACUCAUGCAGUAACUCCUGCCUUACAGAUCUGGGGACCCUUCACCUGCCUCUACUACUGCAAAUGAUUGGAUAUUCGUCUGCCUUGGCUCUUCCCUAAUGUGUGGAACUAAUUUUGUUCACUCUGUUUCAUGCUGGACCUGGCCUGAAAAUGGGCCCUUACAUUGUCUUUGCACUUUCCAACUUGCCAAGUUUCUGAAAGAAGGACCAAAGUAAUGCCAAGAACUCCCAGAUGAAGAGGACCUUCCUUAGACCUAUAACAGAUUCACUACUUGACUUCAGAGGGACGUUUCAGCUAAUUCUCAGGAAAAGGUCAAAACAGGCCUGUGACUGUCCCUCGAAUACUGAAGGUAUAAACAAGCUUCUGGCUCCUCCAGGUCAAGCAGAGGAACACUUUUAUUAGAAUGAAGGGUUACUUCUUUGUUAUUCAGACACACACCCACACACAUCCUCUGUAGUCUCCCUAAUGAAAAACCUCAACAGAUGGAGAGCCUGAGCUCCCACGUCCGCAGGCUGAGAAGAUGCACUUCACUCAGGGGCCAGUGGGCUGGUACAGACUAGGGAAAGGAAAAGGGACAAAGGCUGCUAGUAUAGGUAAUCACUAUCUUUUAAUACUCCUAACACAUAGAAAUUUGAAAAAUCUUGUUCAGCAAUGUUAGCAGCCUCUGAAGCCUCGGAAACUAAUUUGGCUGAUGUGUCUCUGAUAGGGAGCUUAGGGCUGCACCGA
rnacentral:antisense_RNA from 1 species